UAGGGAAUAUUGGACAAUGGGUGCGAGCCUGAUCCAGCCAUGCCGCGUGCAGGAAGAAGGCCUUCUGGGUUGUAAACUGCUUUUUUCAGAGGAUAAAAGACCCUUGCGAGGGGCAUUGAAGGUAUCUGAAGAAUAAGCCACGGCUAACUACGUGCCAGCAGCCGCGGUAAUACGUAGGUGGCAAGCGUUGUCCGGAUUUAUUGGGUUUAAAGGGUGCGUAGGCGGUUUUUUAAGUCAGUUGUGAAAUACGGCAGCUUAACUGUCGAGGUGCAAUUGAUACUGGGGAACUUGAGUACAGACGAGGUAGGCGGAAUUGACGGUGUAGCGGUGAAAUGCAUAGAUAUCGUCAAGAACACCGAUAGCGAAGGCAGCUUACUAGACUGUAACUGACGCUGAUGCACGAAAGUGUGGGGAUCAAACAGGAUUAGAUACCCCCGUAGUCC
rnacentral:rRNA from 1 species